GGUUUUUUACUACGGAAUCAGUGAAUGUAACCUAACUAGCUAAGGUAAUUUUUAGAAACAUGCAUUCUGGUUUUGAAAACCCUGAGCUUUGAGAUUCUUUGACUAAUUAGGCUCAAAUUCUCAUGUUUCCUAGUUUUCUUGGGUUUGUUUCUGACAUUCGAAUUUUCAUUGGUGCAACUGAAGAAUUAUUAGAAGGAUUGAGAAGCACUUUUGACUUCUCAUUCUUCGUUCUUCUUCCUCCGUAGGUCUGAAAUUGAGAAACAGAGAGAACAAAACCAGUGUUGGCCAUGAGUCCAUGACUGUUCAAGAUUUUUUGCAGAUAAACUUCACGAUCAGACUCACGUUUCUUGCUUUCAUCAACGAUACCAACUCACCAUUCGAAGUCGUUAAAUCUGAAUCGUCGGAAUCGACGAUGACUCGCCCUGUGAAAUCGGAAUUCAAACAGGGGUUUUAGUUGGAAUACCUUCCUUCAUAACGCAAUCAAACAUGAAC
rnacentral:lncRNA from 1 species